rnacentral:rRNA from 1 species
UACGAAGGGGGCUAGCGUUGCUCGGAAUCACUGGGCGUAAAGCGCACGUAGGCGGCCUUCUAAGUCAGGGGUGAAAUCCUGGAGCUCAACUCCAGAACUGCCUUUGAUACUGGAGAGCUAGAGUCCGGAAGAGGUGAGUGGAACUGCGAGUGUAGAGGUGAAAUUCGUAGAUAUUCGCAAGAACACCAGUGGCGAAGGCGGCUCACUGGUCCGGUACUGACGCUGAGGUGCGAAAGCGUGGGGAGCAAACAGG